UACGUAGGGUCCGAGCGUUGUCCGGAAUUACUGGGCGUAAAGAGCUCGUAGGUGGUUUGUCGCGUUGUUCGUGAAAACUCACAGCUCAACUGUGGGCGUGCGGGCGAUACGGGCAGACUAGAGUGCUGCAGGGGAGACUGGAAUUCCUGGUGUAGCGGUGGAAUGCGCAGAUAUCAGGAGGAACACCGGUGGCGAAGGCGGGUCUCUGGGCAGUAACUGACGCUGGAGGAGCGAAAGCGUGGGGAGCGAACAGG
rnacentral:rRNA from 1 species